rnacentral:misc_RNA from 1 species
AUGAUAGCUGAGUUCAGUUUGCGCCGCGUAGCUUUGCCUUGCUGGUAGAGGAUCUUCCUCCCGAAAUAAGCCUGGUGACCUCCGGUUAGACUUCUCACAUUCAAACCCUUGACUACAUUACCAUUGUUGCUUUGGCGGGCCGCCCUUCGGGGCGUGGGCUCCGGCUCACCGCGCCCGCCGGAGGACCAAAACUCUUGUGUUUAGUGAUGUCUGAGUACUAUAUAAUAGUUA